rnacentral:rRNA from 1 species
UACGGGGGGGGCAAGCGUUGUUCGGAAUUACUGGGCGUAAAGGGCUCGUAGGCGGCCAACUAAGUCAGACGUGAAAUCCCUCGGCUUAACCGGGGAACUGCGUCUGAUACUGGAUGGCUAGAGGUUGGGAGAGGGAUGCGGAAUUCCAGGUGUAGCGGUGAAAUGCGUAGAUAUCUGGAGGAACACCGGUGGCGAAGGCGGCUCGCUGGGCCAGUUCUGACACUCAUCCGCGAAAGCGUGGGGAGCAAACAGG